UGAAAAGAAAUGGCAAGGCGAAUUUCCUAGCAUCAGUGUCGUAGUUUACUAUGCUGUACGCAAAGAAGGAGCCGGGCGUUAUAACUUUUUUUUAAGUUUGACCUCAAAUCAGGUAAGAUUACCCGCUGAACUUAAGCAUAUCAAUAAGCGGAGGAAAAGAAACCAACAGGGAUUGCCUCAGUAACGGCGAGCGAAGCGGCAAAAGCUCAAAUUUGAAAUCUGGCGCCUUUGGCGUCCGAGUUGUAAUUUGAAGAUGGCAACUUUGGGAUUGGCUCUCGCAUAUGUUCCUUGGAACAGGACGUCAUAGAGGGUGAGAACCCCGUUCAUGGUGAGAUGAUCCAAUCCUAUGUAAAGUGCUUUCUAAGAGUCGAGUUGUUUGGGAAUGCAGCUCUAAGUGGGUGGUAAAUUCCAUCUAAGGCUAAAUAUUGGCGAGAGACCGAUAGCGAACAAGUACAGUGAUGGAAAGAUGAAAAGAACUUUGAAAAGAGAGUGAAAAAGUACGUGAAAUUGUUGAAAGGGAAGGGCUUGAAAUCAGACUUGGUAUUCAGUGAUCAACUGUCUUUCGGGACUGUGCACUCGCUGUUUACUGGGCCAACAUCGGUUUGGAGGGUGAGAUAAAAGCUUGAGAAUGUGGCUAGCCUUCGGGGUAGUGUUAUAGCUCUUGUUAAUAUCACCAUUCUGGACCGAGGACU
rnacentral:rRNA from 1 species